rnacentral:rRNA from 1 species
AUUGAACGCUGGCGGCAGGCCUAAUACAUGCAAGUCGAGCGAGCGGCGGACGGGUGAGUAAUGCCUGGGCAUUGCCCCGUCGAGGGGGAUAACGGUUGGAAACGACUGCUAAUACCGCAUACGAUUGGAUUGCCCUGGUGGGAUUAGCCAGUUGGUGAGGUAAUGGCUCACCAAGGCGACGAUCCCUAGCUGGUCUGAGAGGAUGAUCGGCCACACUGGAACUGAGACACGGUCCAGACUCCUACGGGAGGCAGCAGUGGGGAAUAUUGGACAAUGGGGGAAACCCUGAUGCAGCAAUGCCGCGUGAGUGAAGAAGGCCUUCGGGUUGUAAAGCACGUUCAGUGAGGAGGCGUUACUCACAGAAGAAGCACCGGCUAACUCCGUGCCAGCAGCCGCGGUAAUUC